rnacentral:rRNA from 1 species
UACGUAGGUGACAAGCGUUGUCCGGAUUUACUGGGCGUAAAGAGCGCGCAGGCGGUCGUUCAAGUCGAGUGUGAAAGCCCCCGGCUCAACUGGGGAGGGUCACUCGAUACUGAUCGACUCGAAGGCAGGAGAGGGUAGUGGAAUUCCAGGUGUAGCGGUGAAAUGCGUAGAUAUCUGGAGGAACACCGGUGGCGAAGGCGGCAUCCUGGACCGGUAUUGACGCUGAGGCGCGAAAGCCAGGGGAGCAAACGGG